rnacentral:rRNA from 1 species
CGGCGAGCGAACCGGGAAGAGCUCAAAUUUGAAAGCUGGCAGCUUGCAGUUGUCCGCAUUGUAAUCUAUAGAGGCAUUUUCCGUGCUGGACCGUGACCAAGUCCCUUGGAACAGGGUAUCAAAGAGGGUGAUAAUCCCGUACUUGUCACGACAACCAGUGCUCUGUGAUAUGUCUUCUACGAGUCGAGUUGUUUGGGAAUGCAGCUCAAAAUGGGUGGUAAAUUCCAUCUAAGGCUAAAUAUUGGCGAGAGACCGAUAGCGAACAAGUACCGUGAGGGAAAGAUGAAAAGCACUUUGGAAAGAGAGUUAAACAGUAUGUGAAAUUGUUGAAAGGGAAACGAUUGAGGUCAGUCGUGACUGCAGGAUUCAGCUGUCUCUGGCAGUGUAUUUCCUGUAGUCGGGUCAACAUCAGUUUUGAUCGGUGGAUAAGGGCAGUUGGAAUGUAGCACCUCCGGGUUUGUUAUAGCCUUCUGUCGCAUACACUGGUUGAGACUGAGGAAUGCAGCUCGCCUUUAUGGCCGGGGUUCGCCCACGUUCGAGCUUAGGAUGUUGACAUAAUGGCCUUAAACGACCC